AUUGAACGCUGGCGGCAUGCUUUACACAUGCAAGUCGAGCGGCAGCGCGGGGCAACCUGGCGGCGAGCGGCGAACGGGUGAGUAAUGCAUCGGAACGUGUCCCGUAGUGGGGGAUAACCCGGCGAAAGCCGGACUAAUACCGCAUAUUCUCUACGGAGGAAAGGGGGGGACCCGCAAGGGCCUCUCACUAUGGGAGCGGCCGAUGUCCGAUUAGCUUGUUGGUGAGGUAAUGGCUUACCAAGGCGACGAUCGGUAGCUGGUCUGAGAGGAUGAUCAGCCACACUGGGACUGAGACACGGCCCAGACUCCUACGGGAGGCAGCAGUGGGGAAUUUUGGACAAUGGGGGCAACCCUGAUCCAGCCAUGCCGCGUGCGGGAAGAAGGCCUUCGGGUUGUAAACCGCUUUUGUCCGGAAAGAAAAGGCGCCACCUAAUACGGGGCGUUCUUGACGGUACCGGAAGAAUAAGCACCGGCUAACUACGUGC
rnacentral:rRNA from 1 species